AGGGGAUGCACUUGCUCCACAAAUGGCGCCCAAUUGCUGAGAGUCGAUUCCGUUGGGCGUCCUGGCGUGCAUCCCAGAUUAAAUACUUGCAGACUGGAACUCUGUGCGGCCGCAUUGCAGCCUGUGCGGUCGCAUCGUUCUUCCAGGCACAUUUC